UAUAUAGAAAAGGAAUCGACUCAUUGCAUAAAUGCAGUGUUGUUUUGUUGUUUUUAAACUUUAUUGGGACAGUUUGAAAAUCAUAACACGUUAUUGUGCAGCAUAUCGUUAUUGAUAUCCAUAUUAUCUGUCAACUGUUAUUUCCAUUUUACCUGACAAGAGCCGUAUUUGGUAUUUGCUACUAACUGACAACUUCGAUGUUUUGUGAAACGGCUCUAGAUAAAUAGUCUAACUUUCAAAAACAACAAAACAACAUAAUGGACCAUGUUUAUACAAAGUGGCAAUAAUGUUUAGUCUUUUGCUGAUAAAAUAUCCAUUAAAUUGACCACUCCUUGACUUUGAAAAACAAAGGCGAGUGAAAAAUCGCACUCAUCAAAAUGCUAAGAAACCGUUGAAGCAGACGUCAAGAAGAGUUCUAUUUUUCGGCACUGACGUGUACUUGUACAGUAUGCAAGUCACAGUGUCGUGUUUCAGUGUGGCUAGGUUGCCAUAACUCUAGCCUUGAGUCGAUGUUUGCUGGGUUGCCUGUAGUCAAUCAUAGUUUCCAUUAUAUACAGGUGCGCUUACAUCUGGGGAAGGAAUUGGUUUUCUGUGGU